AUAAGGAUUUGGUUAAUGUUUAUAAGUUGGUUUUUUUUUAAUAUUAUAUGGGUAUAAUUAUUUCUUUAUUCCAGUAAUAAAAAUUAAAUUUUUAAGUAUUUCUUGAAUUAGUUAAUAAAUUUAAAUUAGACAAAUAUUGUGCCAGCAUUCGCGGUUAAACAAUUUAUUUAAGUCAAUUAUGUUAGUUAAAUAAUUUUUUAUAUAAUGAAUAUAACAUUUUUUUACUUAGGUAAAAUUUGUAUAUAAAUUAAUUUCAUAUUUUAAUUUUAUGAAAUUAAGGUAAUAAACUAGGAUUAGAUACCCUAUUAUACUUAAUUUAAAUUAUUAGCUUGAAUGGUAUUAGUUAAGGUCUUUUAAGCUCAAAUAACUUGGCGGUAAAAUAUUUAAUUAGAGGAACCUGUUCAUUAAUCGAUAAACCACGAUAAAAUAUACUUUAUAGAAUAUUUGUAUACCGCUAUUUAGGAUGUUUUUUAAGAAUAUUUCUUUUAAUUAUAAUAAUUGAUGUUAGGUCAAGGUGCAGUUUUUAAGAAGUUUGAAUGGGUUACAUUAGUAUAUAAUAAUCUGAGAUUAAAUAUCUGUAUAAGAUAGGUUUUUUUAAGGAUUUAAUAGUAAAAAUAAUUAAUUAAUUAUUUUGAAUUUUACUCUAUUUUAUGUACAUAUCGCCCGUCACUCCUAUGAAGUUAGGAUAAGUCGUAACAAAGUAAUUUUACCGGAAGGUAAAGUUAGAUUGGU
rnacentral:ncRNA from 1 species